GAUGAACGCUGGCGGCGUGCCUAACACAUGCAAGUCGAACGGAGUCCAGCCUUUAAGACCUUCGGGUCAAAGAGGGGAAGACUGAGUGGCGGACGGGUGAGUAACACGUGGGCAACCUGGCUCAUAGAGGGGGAUAACAGAGAGAAAUUUCUGCUAAUACCGCAUAAGCACACACUACCGCAUGGCAGAGGGUGAAAAGAGAAUCGCUAUGAGAUGGACCCGCGUCUGAUUAGCCAGUUGGCAGGGUAAGAGCCUACCAAAGCGACGAUCAGUAGCCGAUCUGAGAGGAUGAACGGCCACAUUGGGACUGAGACACGGCCCAAACUCCUACGGGAGGCAGCAGUGGGGGAUAUUGCACAAUGGGGGGAACCCUGAUGCAGCGACGCCGCGUGAGUGAAGAAGUAUUUCGGUAUGUAAAGCUCUAUCAGCAGGGAAGAUAAUGACAGUACCUGAAUAAGAAGCCCCGGCUAACUACGUG
rnacentral:rRNA from 1 species